rnacentral:rRNA from 1 species
UUAAGCGACUAAGCGUACACGGUGGAUGCCCUGGCAGUCAGAGGCGAUGAAGGACGUGCUAAUCUGCGAUAAGCGUCGGUAAGGUGAUAUGAACCGUUAUAACCGGCGAUUUCCGAAUGGGGAAACCCAGUGUGUUUCGACACACUAUCAUUAACUGAAUCCAUAGGUUAAUGAGGCGAACCGGGGGAACUGAAACAUCUAAGUACCCCGAGGAAAAGAAAUCAACCGAGAUUCCCCCAGUAGCGGCGAGCGAACGGGGAGCAGCCCAGAGCCUGAAUCAGUGUGUGUGUUAGUGGAAGCGUCUGGAAAGGCGCGCGAUACAGGGUGACAGCCCCGUACACAAAAAUGCACAUGCUGUGAGCUCGAUGAGUAGGGCGGGACACGUGGUAUCCUGUCUGAAUAUGGGGGGACCAUCCUCCAAGGCUAAAUACUCCUGACUGACCGAUAGUGAACCAGUACCGUGAGGGAAAGGCGAAAAGAACCCCGGCGAGGGGAGUGAAAAAGAACCUGAAACCGUGUACGUACAAGCAGUGGGAGCACGCUUAGGCGUGUGACUGCGUACCUUUUGUAUAAUGGGUCAGCGACUUAUAUUCUGUAGCAAGGUUAACCGAAUAGGGGAGCCGAAGGGAAACCGAGUCUUAACUGGGCGUUAAGUUGCAGGGUAUAGACCCGAAACCCGGUGAUCUAGCCAUGGGCAGGUUGAAGGUUGGGUAACACUAACUGGAGGACCGAACCGACUAAUGUUGAAAAAUUAGCGGAUGACUUGUGGCUGGGGGUGAAAGGCCAAUCAAACCGGGAGAUAGCUGGUUCUCCCCGAAAGCUAUUUAGGUAGCGCCUCGUGAAUUCAUCUCCGGGGGUAGAGCACUGUUUCGGCAAGGGGGUCAUCCCGACUUACCAACCCGAUGCAAACUGCGAAUACCGGAGAAUGUUAUCACGGGAGACACACGGCGGGUGCUAACGUCCGUCGUGAAGAGGGAAACAACCCAGACCGCCAGCUAAGGUCCCAAAGUCAUGGUUAAGUGGGAAACGAUGUGGGAAGGCCCAGACAGCCAGGAUGUUGGCUUAGAAGCAGCCAUCAUUUAAAGAAAGCGUAAUAGCUCACUGGUCGAGUCGGCCUGCGCGGAAGAUGUAACGGGGCUAAACCAUGCACCGAAGCUGCGGCAGCGACGCUUAUGCGUUGUUGGGUAGGGGAGCGUUCUGUAAGCCUGCGAAGGUGUGCUGUGAGGCAUGCUGGAGGUAUCAGAAGUGCGAAUGCUGACAUAAGUAACGAUAAAGCGGGUGAAAAGCCCGCUCGCCGGAAGACCAAGGGUUCCUGUCCAACGUUAAUCGGGGCAGGGUGAGUCGACCCCUAAGGCGAGGCCGAAAGGCGUAGUCGAUGGGAAACAGGUUAAUAUUCCUGUACUUGGUGUUACUGCGAAGGGGGGACGGAGAAGGCUAUGUUGGCCGGGCGACGGUUGUCCCGGUUUAAGCGUGUAGGCUGGUUUUCCAGGCAAAUCCGGAAAAUCAAGGCUGAGGCGUGAUGACGAGGCACUACGGUGCUGAAGCAACAAAUGCCCUGCUUCCAGGAAAAGCCUCUAAGCAUCAGGUAACAUCAAAUCGUACCCCAAACCGACACAGGUGGUCAGGUAGAGAAUACCAAGGCGCUUGAGAGAACUCGGGUGAAGGAACUAGGCAAAAUGGUGCCGUAACUUCGGGAGAAGGCACGCUGAUAUGUAGGUGAAGCGACUUGCUCGUGGAGCUGAAAUCAGUCGAAGAUACCAGCUGGCUGCAACUGUUUAUUAAAAACACAGCACUGUGCAAACACGAAAGUGGACGUAUACGGUGUGACGCCUGCCCGGUGCCGGAAGGUUAAUUGAUGGGGUUAGCCGCAAGGCGAAGCUUGAUCGAAGCCCCGGUAAACGGCGGCCGUAACUAUAACGGUCCUAAGGUAGCGAAAUUCCUUGUCGGGUAAGUUCCGACCUGCACGAAUGGCGUAAUGAUGGCCAGGCUGUCUCCACCCGAGACUCAGUGAAAUUGAACUCGCUGUGAAGAUGCAGUGUACCCGCGGCAAGACGGAAAGACCCCGUGAACCUUUACUAUAGCUUGACACUGAACAUUGAGCCUUGAUGUGUAGGAUAGGUGGGAGGCUUUGAAGUGUGGACGCCAGUCUGCAUGGAGCCGACCUUGAAAUACCACCCUUUAAUGUUUGAUGUUCUAACGUUGACCCGUAAUCCGGGUUGCGGACAGUGUCUGGUGGGUAGUUUGACUGGGGCGGUCUCCUCCUAAAGAGUAACGGAGGAGCACGAAGGUUGGCUAAUCCUGGUCGGACAUCAGGAGGUUAGUGCAAUGGCAUAAGCCAGCUUGACUGCGAGCGUGACGGCGCGAGCAGGUGCGAAAGCAGGUCAUAGUGAUCCGGUGGUUCUGAAUGGAAGGGCCAUCGCUCAACGGAUAAAAGGUACUCCGGGGAUAACAGGCUGAUACCGCCCAAGAGUUCAUAUCGACGGCGGUGUUUGGCACCUCGAUGUCGGCUCAUCACAUCCUGGGGCUGAAGUAGGUCCCAAGGGUAUGGCUGUUCGCCAUUUAAAGUGGUACGCGAGCUGGGUUUAGAACGUCGUGAGACAGUUCGGUCCCUAUCUGCCGUGGGCGCUGGAGAACUGAGGGGGGCUGCUCCUAGUACGAGAGGACCGGAGUGGACGCAUCACUGGUGUUCGGGUUGUCAUGCCAAUGGCACUGCCCGGUAGCUAAAUGCGGAAGAGAUAAGUGCUGAAAGCAUCUAAGCACGAAACUUGCCCCGAGAUGAGUUCUCCCUGACCCUUUAAGGGUCCUGAAGGAACGUUGAAGACGACGACGUUGAUAGGCCGGGUGUGUAAGCGCAGCGAUGCGUUGAGCUAACCGGUACUAAUGAACCGUGAGGCUUAACCUU